CCUACGGGGGGCAGCAGUGAGGAAUAUUGGUCAAUGGCCGAGAGGCUGAACCAGCCAAGUCGCGUGAGGGAAGACGGCCCUACGGGUUGUAAACCUCUUUUGUCGGGGAGCAAAGCGAACCACGUGUGGUUCAUUGAGAGUACCCGAAGAAAAAGCAUCGGCUAACUCCGUGCCAGCAGCCGCGGGAAACGGGAGUUGGGGAGCGUUAUCCGGUUUUAUUGGGUUUAAGGGGUGCGCAGGCGGAGGUGCAAGUCAGCGGUCAAAUUGCGGGGCUCAACCCCGUACUGCCGUUGAAACUGCAUCCCUUGAGUGCGCGAGAAGUAUGCGGAAUGCGUGGUGUAGCGGUGAAAUGCAUAGAUAUCACGCAGAACUCCGAUUGCGAAGGCAGCAUACCGGCGCGCAACUGACGCUCAUGCACGAAAGCGUGGGUAUCGAACAGGAUUAGAUACCCGGGUAGUC
rnacentral:rRNA from 1 species